rnacentral:rRNA from 1 species
UACGUAGGGGGCAAGCGUUGUCCGGAUUCAUUGGGCGUAAAGAGCGUGUAGGCGGCCAGGUAGGUCGGUUGUGAAAACUGGAGGCUCAACCUUCAGACGUCGACCGAAACCAUCUGGCUAGAGUCCGGGAGAGGAGAGUGGAAUUCCUAGUGUAGAGGUGAAAUUCGUAGAUAUUAGGAAGAACACCAGUGGCGAAGGCGGCUCACUGGUCCGGUACUGACGCUGAGGUGCGAAAGCGUGGGGAGCAAACAGG